rnacentral:rRNA from 1 species
GACGGAGGAUGCAAGUGUUAUCCGGAAUCACUGGGCGUAAAGCGUCUGUAGGUGGUCAAAUAAGUCAACUGUUAAAUCUUGAGGCUCAACCUCAAAAUCGCAGUCGAAACUAUUAGACUAGAGUAUAGUAGGGGUAAAGGGAAUUUCCAGUGGAGCGGUGAAAUGCGUAGAUAUAGGAAGGACCCCCAGUGGCGAAGGCGAUCACCUGGGGUUGUUCUGACGCUGAGGGCGAAAGCUAGGGGAGCAAACGGG